rnacentral:sRNA from 1 species
UCGAUCACUUCAGCUGUUGCUCUGCUGC